ACGGGUGAGUAAUGUCUGGGAAACUGCCUGAUGAGGGGGAUAACUACUGGAAACGGUAGCUAAUACCGCAUAAUGUCGCAAGACCAAAGAGGGGGACCUUCGGGCCUCUUGCCAUCGGAUGUGCCCAGAUGGGAUUAGCUUGUUGGUGGGGUAACGGCUCACCAAGGCGACGAUCCCUAGCUGGUCUGAGAGGAUGACCAGCCACACUGGAACUGAGACACGGUCCAGACUCCUACGGGAGGCAGCAUG
rnacentral:rRNA from 1 species